rnacentral:lncRNA from 1 species
AACCAAGUCGAGGAGGGAAGGAUUAGAGAGCGAACGCAGGGAGGGCAAAGACGGAGAGGAGGAGAAGUUUUUGGAGCUCUCCCUCUUCGUGACUCUUUUCUCUCACACACUCCUCGCUCUUCGUCACCAGCUGUUCUCCAGUGUUCCCUCCUCAUCAUGGUCAGCGUCUCCAGCUCCUCGAUUGGACUCCUCCUCCUCCUCACCCUUCUCCUGAUUGGCUGCGCUGCUGCAGGACCGGAGCCUGACCGGCGGCCUCGAGCGGUGCGUUCAAGCGCCUGUCAGGAGCACACAAAUCUUCACAGCCGCCUGGAUGUAGUGGAGAAGAAAGUGGAGGACACGGUGGAGAAGUUGGAGGUUGAGCUGGCUGCUCUCCUGGAUGCUAUUGAUGCACCAGAGUGGCGCCCCCUGUUGGACGACACGGGAAAGACGGCUGUGGACAUCCUGGAGGAGCCCGGUCAGAGGGGCCAGUCCUGAGUGUGGCCUGUGUGUGUGCGCAUGUGUUCUGUAUGUCUCAGUGAUGUUUGUAUCUUAAAGGAGGAGGCGGCCAUCUUUUGCUGCUCUGCUUUAUUUACUCUGAAUUAUCAGAGAGCUACGUGUGGACUCUGAAGUCACUUCCUGUUUACACUGAGCUUAGCUCACUGGCAACACUUUUCCUCAGUCGAUACACACCCCUGCUCCACAUCGCCCUCUACUGUCUGCACCCAGGAGAGCAUGUCCACGUCCUGGCUGAACAGGCUGCAGUUCACCUAGAGGGCGCUGUGUCAUCUAUGAAUAGAAGUGAAUGGAUUAUUCAUUAUAUAUCAGAACUUAAUUUACAUUAAAUUAGCCAUAACAGGCUAGUAUUUGGCUAAUGGGUGGUGCAUAGUCAGUUUUAUUAUUGAAACCUGAGAUCCUUCCUCAAUGAUGAGUGGAUGUGUGAAAUUUAAAACAGCAGAUGGUGUAAAGUUGCUCAUGGUGCAUGACAUCACACGCAUAAUAGUCAUAAAGCAGGAUUUUUCUCAUUUCACAAGCAUAAAGAAAUAUAACACCGGAC